UGUUUGCUAAUAUUGUGUUUGUUACAUGCUGUUGAAUUGGGCCAAUUCCUGGCUACACUAUGAAUGAGUGAUGUCCACAAUGUUCUGUCCUCAAUAGCCCUGCUCAGCUUCUGUAGAUUCAUGCCUAU